GGGGAGGUAGCGAAGUGGCUAAACGCAGCAGACUGUAAAUCUGCCCUCUGAUGAGUUCGGUGGUUCGAAUCCGCCCCUCCCCA
rnacentral:tRNA from 1 species